GGAGGAUAGCUCAAGUGGUAGAGCACAUGCUUAGCAUGCACGAGGUCCUGGAUUCAAACCCCAGUACCUUCU
rfam:Camelus ferus unplaced genomic scaffold scaffold195, whole genome shotgun sequence.